ACACUUUCUUUAUGGGCCAGUCAAUUCAAUCCACAACUUUGCUGCAAGGCGGACAGAACUGCAGACGACAAGAAAUUAUGUAUGUGCUCUAGGUCACUCUAAAUGUGCCGAAUUUCGAGCGUUCUUGGAUGGUGUGAAAGCAUUUUCACUAAGCGAGAAAAGCGGGACGCAACAUGAUAAGGAUAAGGUUACCUCGUGGGCUGUCUAAAGGGCAAGCAAUGUUGGCGAUCAUUUUGGGCUUCGGCUGCAGCUUAUACACCUGGUAUCCAGUGCUUCAGUACAAGCGUGCAAAAGUUAUUGCCGAAAAGCAGAAUGCUGCACCACAGGAUGAAUCGCCAUUGGACAACAAGUGACCUUACCAGGUCGGAAAGCCGUCGGAGCGGAUCAACAUCAUCUCGUGUUCCUAGACGUCGCGUACAUCAAGCGAAAUGAAAAUUGCGAAAGGCAA